rnacentral:rRNA from 1 species
CGUAGGGGGCAAGCGUUGUCCGGAUUUAUUGGGCGUAAAGAGCGUGUAGGCGGCCAGACAGGUCAGCUGUGAAAACUCGAGGCUCAACCUCGAGACGUCGGUUGAAACCGUCUGGCUAGAGUCCGGAAGAGGAGAGUGGAAUUCCCGGUGUAGCGGUGAAAUGCGCAGAUAUCGGGAAGAACACCCGUGGCGAAGGCGGCUCUCUGGGACGGUACUGACGCUGAGACGCGAAAGCGUGGGGAGCGAACAGG